rnacentral:rRNA from 1 species
UACGAAGGGGGGCUAGCGUUGUUCGGAAUUACUGGGCGUAAAGCGCACGUAGGCGGAUAUUUAAGUCAGGGGUGAAAUCCCGGGGCUCAACCCCGGAACGGCCUUUGAUACUGGAUGUCUUGAGUCCGGAAGAGGUGAGUGGAAUUGCGAGUGUAGAGGUGAAAUUCGUAGAUAUUCGCAGGAACACCAGUGGCGAAGGCGGCUCACUGGUCCGGAACUGACGCUGAGGUGCGAAAGCGUGGGGAGCAAACAGGAGUUAGAAACCCU